AAUCGUUUAAUACUCUUUAUGGUCUUCUGUUACUUUUCUUAGGUGGGAAAGUUAAUAUCAAGAACCUGGACACCAUUCUGAACAAUCUAGAAAUCAAACUUGCAGAUUCAGAACUUAAAGAUCUGACUCAAAAUAUACAUGCUGAUGUUGAUAAGAAAAUUUCUCUAGAAAUGCUGAUGGAUAAAGUCACAGAUUUCACAGGUGAGAAGAUUGAGUCUAAGGAUGUUAAAAAUGUUGUUAAAAAUCUUGGAAUUGAGCUUGCAAGUGAAGAACUAGAAAAGCUAAUGAAAACACUGCCAACUGAUGGUGAGCCAUACAAAUGUCUGUGGGGGCUUCCAGGGAGCUUGAAUUUUUGUG
ensembl:lncRNA